UUUGAAUUUUUCAUUUUUUUUUUUUAUUUAAUAUUUUUGUAGUGCAUUGAAACAAUACAUACAGGCCUUAGGUGCCCCAACAGCAGUCCUCAUGCUUAGCUCAUGCAGUACAAUUGGGGUAGUUGCAAGAACAUGCACAAUUUUAAUAUCUUGAGAACAACUUAAUGAUUAUAUCGAUUAAUGCCUAAAAUGGUAAAUAUGAAUAGAUAUGUUAACAUCUGUAGCCUGUUGCGGUUUACCUCUUUUCCUUUCAUUUAAUGGGUCUAUGCAGGCUAAUCUUAGGCAUAUAGAUUACUGUAGUCUGGAGCUGCAGUAUGACAGCAAUAGUAAAACAUUAGUAAUUAAACAGUGUUACAAUGUUGUAAGAUGGUGACAAAACAUUCUGCCCUCGAGUCAAUAGUUCUAGACCUCUUUUGCAGCCUAGCUGCAGUAGCUGCUCAAUACUAGAACGAUGAGUGCUCUGUGGGCUUGUGGUAGUGUCUCUUUUAACCAAUGCCUUCUUAUGGGAGACGGCUGGCACCCGCUGCUGGUCCUCGGGAAGCCGCUGGUGCAUGGUCCUGGGGAAUGUUUUAAUUUUAAGAUGCUUUAGUCAGCGUUUCUCUUUUCGCACUUUGGUCGUUCAAACCAAAUGUGUCCUUGUUUACGUAAGCAUUUUUCUAUUUCAAGAUUUGUAAAUUGUGUAACAAAUUUAUUUAUAGGUUAUUACGUGUGUGUGU